UNNUGAANCCAACCUUUUGUCCAAAAUGAAUUUGAAAAUGGAUGAGCGCUGGACCGAAGCCUGCGGCAGUUUUGCUGUUAGGCAAUGUGGUGUGCGGGUCGGUUCGCGGGACCGUCACUCCGCUCGAAGUCCAGCAUUGAGUAUGGUUAUCACUGGAUUUGGCCCAUAGAGGGUGAGAGGCCCGUACGAGUGGAGGUUCAGACAUGUAUGACGGUUCACCAGGCCGACCUCAGAGUCGGGUUGUUUGUGAUUGCAGCCCAAAGAGGGUGGUAAACUCCAUCCAAGGCUAAAUACUGACACGAGUCCGAUAGCGAACAAGUACCGUGAGGGAAAGUUGAAAAGUACUCUGAAGAGAGAGUAAACAGUACGUGAAGCCGCAUGCAGGUAAACGGGUGGCGUCAAGCUGCGAGCCCGGAGGAUUCAACUGAUUAGGAUGUAGUGUGCGCACGCCUGGUGCGUCGAGAGACCGGAAUAAGAUGUUUGGCGGUCCACUCCUCUGCUAGGAGUGGGGCGCUAUCAGUGUGCACGCGAAAGCGUGUUUACUGAUUGGCGCUAUGCAUGCCGGGUGGGUGCCGGAACAUGCCGCUCAUCUGUUGGGUCGCCUAGUCAGUGCAUUUUCUCCGUGGUGAACACCACGACCGGUGGAACUGCCAGUCUGCUGCCGUCCAGUCGUGGCCAUCUGACCCCUUCGCUCUUGCUCCUUCCGGGGUGAUGGGUGGAUGUGUGUGGUUUGGGUGGGUACGAUCGCANAUGGAGUCCGGUGGACGCGCAGUGGUGUCUUCGGCACCCGCCGCCGUGCUAUUCGUGCACUCUUCGUCCUAAACGAUUGGUGGGGCUGACUAAGUGCUGUACUGCCUCCCCAUUGAUCGGCGGAUAGCANUGGUAAAAUGACUGUGCAGGCACNGAGUAUCACUCAUUUCAUCAUCNUNNUGAUGANGAAAUGCAUCGGC
rnacentral:rRNA from 1 species